AAAGAUGAAAAGAAGUCAUUCUCUGGUCACAAUUAAUCGCUACAUUUCUCUCCCUUAAGGCAAGUAGAAGUCUCCUUUUCAACACUAUAAAUUUGUUACAAGAAACAGGGACCGAACAGCAUAGAAGUUUAUGAUGCAACCAGAUCAGGUGUUUCAGCUUCAACUGACAAUAAAGCAGUGUUUACUUUACCCAUCCAGUUGUCCAGCCUAUCUCGUAAAGAUUUGAUCUGAGAAAUCCCUAAAACUCGGGGUUGCACCCAUGACACAUGCACAGUCCCUUCGACUUGAUCAAUUAUUCCCUCAAUCAGAUGAACCUGCAGUAGUUCAAACUUUCUUAGCUUAAGAUACAAAGAGAAUGAUACACUUGUGACGGUUUUAUGAAAGUUACAGGUACUAACCAAAGAGAAACUGCAAACUGUUAUAGAACAAGACGAACACUGGUGUGAGAAGCACCAGUAGUUUACAUGCAAGUUCUAGGUCCAGGGCUCAGGGCUUAAAAAUAUAAUAUAAAUGCAUUUACCACUGAAUUUAUAAGAAAGGUAUUCACAUUUUACUAAGAUCUAAUCUGUACUAGGGUAAUUCAACUCGAUAUCAAUCAUGAUAAUUCAUUUUUUCCUGACUAAUUGCUAUCUCAACAGAUAAGAAGCUCUACAGCUUUUUUAUUUGGCAAUACCAUGUCUCAGACGUAACAAAUCAUCAAAGCUGAGAACAAUUACUACUAGGUUCACUUUAUCUGCCCAGAAAGUAUAAAAUUAUAUAUGAUACAUGUCUCCCAUUAUACCAGAAGAGUAAUAAUAGAUAUAAAAACUAGCUGGUAACCCAUAAGUUUAUUACAAAGCACUUACUGAUAGGCUUUUCAUUAGAAGGUACUCCACAUCCUCUAUCUUGAGUUUUGUGCGCUCCGCGAUGAUACUUAAUGGAAUGGUUCUAUCCUCUGAUGGUCGACUGAAAAGAAGCACAUUUAGUUGAUAACUCUAUGGGUGACCAUGAUCAAUAAGAACCUAGGAGAAUGCUUAAAAACCUGAAAAUGAUUUCCAUUAAGCAAAGAAUAUUGAUCUUUUCCAGAAGCUUUUUCUCAUUCUCCACUAAUGCUGGUUGUGCACUCAGAGCAGCAUUAUGAACAUGGCACAAUUCCUGAUAGCGGACUAAAUCACCAGAAUUGAAUGCUUCAAGAAUGUAAUAGAGCCACUCUACCUUGGUCCCAAGGAGACUCUUCAGCUGAACGAGUUAAAAAAAAUGUUUGCUGUCCGAUAAGAGAUAACACAACAGAUUGUGCACAAGACAAAUAAAUGAAACCAUUAUUUAAUCUACAAAUUAUUUUGUUUCAUUGGCAAUAAUCAGGAUCUAACAACUAAUAUUAGAAUGCUCAGAUUGAAUAUGAAUUAUCAUGAAGGGUUCAAAAUGAAGUAUCAUAUGAGGAUUUAUUCCUCUUUGAAUAUAAUCAUACAUGACAAAGAAAAUUUAUAUAGCCAUUUCUUUGAAUAGGAAACCUUGGCAUCACCAAGACGCCUACCAUUACAAACUAGAACACCAAUCCACACCACAAAUAAUCAUUAUUUAUUAAAAAAACAAGAAUAUAAUCAUGCAGCCAUUUCUUUGACUGAAAAACCUUAGCAUCCCAAGCAACCUCACAUCUCCUAUUACAAACUAAAAGACCAAGUCAAUCCCACCCCAAAUAAGCACAGGGAAAAAACUAUAGAAACAGGACUGUAUAGAACAAGCCAUAAUCACCCUAUUCACUAAUUGCCUAUGUAUACCUACAUGUAUGCAUAUUUACAUGGAUAUCCGUACAUAUUGAUGCAAGGAUAUAUUGCAACUAUACUGCUGGUGGUUGCCACAUGUUAGUAUAUAUCAUUCCUCAAACCACACAACAAAGUAUUGAUGAUUAUGAAAAAAUGAAAGAAUGAAAAAUAAACAUUGUCCAUAAUAAAAGAUUUGCGGCACUAGUUUGAAGCAUAUCUAUAUGCAUCCCGUCCUGGUAAAGCUAAAAUCAAAUUCUUGGGUAUAAACGUACAUACAUAAAUUGACUAAAUCGCAAUUAUAUAUACUUACAAUUGGAUGUGCAAGCAAUUCACCGAAAUUGUAAAUGUUCUCUCCCAGCAAUGCCGAUAGAGACAAAUCAAAAGCCAAAUCCUGAGCCAAUUAAGGUUAGUAUAUAUUAAUUGCUAGACAAAAACGGAUACAAAGAUCAGUAUCUCAUUAUUGAUAUAAAUAUUUUAAAUGGAGUACACAAAUACACUAUAAUCAUCCAAGAACACUGGUGAAUAAAUAGAUUCUGUCAAACAGUUAUUUAUAUAAUGGUUGAGGUCAUUUGUUUCAUGCUUGCAUUGUUGUUUCCUUGAUAGCUAUACAGAUAAUAUUAGCACUAACACAUGUACAGAGUGUUAUAACUCGUUAGUAUUUUUCGAGUUAAAACUUACACCUUGCCCAAUUGUAGCUACCAGCUCAUGCAAACAAAUAUAUCACUCCAAUUCCAUUAAUUAGUUUAGUAUUAAUAGCAAAAACUGAUGAUCAUACAUGCACCAUAUUCUAUGUUCACAGAAAAAUAAUUAGAUCUGUCAAAAAAGCUUUAAAGCUUAUAACUAGCAAUAUUCAGAUUCAAAACAUCGAUUGAACCAAACAAAAAUAAGAGAGACAACAUUAAAUAUAUUUCAAUUUACAUGUAAUUUUCUUGAAACAAUAGUGAAGAACCGUCAGAGAAAAUGCAUACCAGCUUGAAUGAUUCAGAUAGAGAUUCUACAGAAGUGUAUGCCAGGUAUAGAAGAGCACUUUUGUAGAACUCGGCAAAUUCUUGACGAGAUUUAUGGUACUGGGAUGAAAUCCAGUAAUAACUGGCAUGCACAGAUGGAUCAAUGUCGGUCAUGCUGUCUAGUGUACUUUUGCCAUCAUCAAUUAGUUUUUUG
rnacentral:lncRNA from 1 species